rnacentral:tRNA from 1 species
GGGGAUAUAGCUCAGUUGAUAGAGGGCUUGCUUUGCAUGCACAAGGCGCUGGGUUCAAUUCCCAGCCCCA